UUUUUGAAAAUAAUUUAAAGUUUAAUCUGCCCACUGAUGAAAAUUAAAGGGCUGCAGUAUAUUGACUGUACAAAGGUAGCAUAAUCAUUAGUCUUUUAAUUGAAGACUUGUAUGAAAGAUUUAAUGAAAUAUAAACUGUCUCUUAUUUAAAAAUAGAAUUUAAUUUUUUAGUUAAAAAGCUAAAAUAAAUUUAAAAGACGAGAAGACCCUAUAGAGUUUUAUAAUUAAAUUAUUUAAGAUUUUUUAUAUAAUUUAUAGUUAAAAAUAAUUUAAUUAUUAUAUUGGGGUGAUAAAAAAAUUAAAAUAACUUUUUUUUUUAUAAUAACAUAAAUAAGUGAAAAGUUGAUCCAUUAAUAAUGAUUAAAAGAAAAAAUUACCUUAGGGAUAACAGCGUAAUUUUUUUUUUUAGUACAAAUAAAAAAAAGAGAUUGCGACCUCGAUGUUGGAUUAAGAUAAAAUUUAGAUGCAAAAGUUUAAAAUUUUGAUCUGUUCNAUCAUUAAAAUCUUAC
rnacentral:rRNA from 1 species